AGCGCUGUUCUGCUUCGUUAAGAAUUUCCUCCCUGGAUUGGAAUGGAGACUCUUCAUAUGAAUUUGGCUGUUGCUCUCUGGAGGGAAUAAUAGAGAUUCUUGAUUGCAGACAGGAAAUGUCAGGCAUCUGUAUGAACGCAUUUCCAUUGAGCCGACCUUGCACAUGCAUCCGCUUC